rnacentral:rRNA from 1 species
UACAGAGGGUGCGAGCGUUAAUCGGAAUUACUGGGCGUAAAGGCGCGUAGGCGGCCUUCUAAGUCGAACGUGAAAUCCCCGGGCUCAACCCGGGAACUGCGUCCGAUACUGGGAGGCUUGAAUCCGGGAGAGGGAUGUGGAAUUCCAGGUGUAGCGGUGAAAUGCGUAGAUAUCAGGAGGAACACCGGUGGCGAAGGCGGCUAUCUGGACAGAGUCUGACGCUGAAGGCGCGAAAGCUAGGGGAGCAAACAGG